GACACCUCCAGCCACAGCCGCGCCGCUCGCCAACGCUUCUACAGUAAAUCAUCAACGUGAAACCACAGUUAAUACUGGAAUUGAAGCAUUUACAUACUGGAAAAAUAAUUUCAAGUCUUCCAUCAGUGGCUAUAAACUCAAGGCAGGCAUAUGGCCCCAACUCUACAAAGCCAUACACAGCGGAACUAAUAAAUCCUGAUUUCUUGCA